GGGGGGAUUUGGUCCAUAGCNUAACGGNUGANCCAGCACCUUGGAGGAAUGNUAUAGCAAUAGCUACUUGCAUCAUUGCCCUUAUGAUGCAAGAUCGACUAUGUCGAAUAAAUUCUAGGUGGAAUUAUGAUAAUGCCAUUGUCUGCCUAUGUGUCUUGACCAAAUUACGUGCCAGCAGUCGCGGUAAUACGUAGAAGACUAGUGUUAUUCAUCUUUAAUCGGUUUAAAGGGUACCUAGACGGCAAAUCAAGCUUUCUUUUAAAAAGAAUUAAAGGACUAAUUUGCUAGAGUUACUUAUGAGGGGGUAUUAAAGUACUGGUGGUGUAGAGAUGAAAUUCUGUCAUACCUCAUUUCGAAAUACAAUAGAAAUAUUAUGGCACAGGUAUAGGCGAAGGCAUCCCCUUAUGUGAUAACUGACGUUGAGGGACGAAGGCUUUGUAUAGCGAACAGGAUUAGAUACCCUAGUAGUCGAAGCAGAAAAUGAUGAAUGUCAUAGAUUAGAUAUAUAAGUUUAUUCUAUAAAUGAAAGUGUAAGCAUUCCACCUCAUGAGUAAUUUGGCAACAUUGGAACUGAAAUCAUUAGACCGUUUCUGAAACCAGUAGUGAAGUAUGUUGUUUAAUUUGAUAACCCGCAAAGAACCUUACCACAAUUUGAAUAUUUAUAUUUGUUAUUGUUUUCUUAUUAAUUACCUUCCAAUAAGAAAAAAGAUCCAAAAUAAGAAAAAAAGAAAAAAAAAGGAAAAUGCAAAUUAAGAAAAACGAAAAGAAAAAGAAGAAAAAGAAGAAAAUUAAUAAAGAGGCAAUAAGAUAUAUUUACAAGCGUUGCACGGCUGUCUUCAGUUAAUGUCGCGAGACUUUGGUUAGUUCCAUUAAAUUNNNGU
rnacentral:rRNA from 1 species